rnacentral:lncRNA from 1 species
UAGAUUAUCAUGCUUGGUGCGAACCUGUGGUUGGAUUUUGAAGGAAUGGAUAUAGAGGCGUAGAGUCCUGACUCGGUUUUUCAGCAUCGGUGGAGAAAGGUCUCGGCGAGUUGCGAAGAAAGGAGCUGAUUCCUUGAUUUUGAUGGCCGGCUCGAAUCAAGCUGCUCGAUUUGAUUGCAUUUCGUAGUAGACUCAUCUUCUGCAGCAUUUGGAAUGUGUGUGUGUGUGUGAGAGAGAGAGAGAGAGAGAGAGAGAGAGAGAGAGAGAGAAAGAGAGGUUUUUGCGAAGUUUAGGCUACGGGGAUUAUUGGAGUAAUUCUUUGUACUGUGUAGGUUUAGGCUACGGGGAUUAUUGGAG